rnacentral:rRNA from 1 species
GAUGAACGCUGGCGGCGUGCUUAACACAUGCAAGUCGAACGGAAAGGCUCCUGCUUUCCGGGGUUCUCGAUUGGCGAACGGGUGUGUAACACGCGGGGGUUCUGCCCUUCUCUUCGGGAUAUGCCUUGGAAACUGCGUCGAUUACCGGAUAGGACGAUGUUUUGGAUGCCGUUCUGGAGAGUUUUUUCGUCGUGGGGUGAGUUCGCGGCCAAUCCGCUUUUUAGUGGCGUAUUGGCCUACCAAGGCGUCGCCGGGUAGCCGGCACGGGAGGGUGUACGGCCACAUUAGGACUGAGAUACGGCGCAGACGCCUACGGGAGGCAGCAGGGGAAAGUAUUGCAGAAUGGGGGCGAGCCAGAUGCGGAGACGUCGGGAGGGGGAAAACGGCUUACGGGUUAUAAACAUCUGUCGAUAGGGACGAAGCGCAAGUGACGGUACCUGAUGAGGAAGCACCGGCUAACUACGUG